GAAUAUAAGAGCUCAAUAUCCUCUGGAAUGAAAUUUACUUUAUAGUGCUUCCGGUGUCAUGAUCGAAGGAAAUUUUGUGCAUAAAUCCCAACUAUUGACUACACUUUCCUGUUUCAUCAAAAUGAUCAUUAUUUAGUGUUUUGAGAUCCAAAGUAUAGAGGUAUUUUACAAGAAACCUCACCUCUACCGCGUGAAUUGCUUUUCUGACUUCGUCAUUUGUAACAGAGCCAUCCUAAAGAUAUCGUUAGAUUGUGUUACUUGUUUUUGGCAAUAAUCAAGCAAUGAAAUCAAUUAGUAGCUAACAAGUAGAUAUUAAAUAAAUGGUAAAUAUAGAAACUUAGAUAGUAGUAAAGAAACAUAUUAUCCGAGGAGGUGUUUUGUGCAGGACAACCAUUGUCCGAGGAGCUGUUUUGUUCAAUUCUUCCCGAACAUGAUAUUCAAGGCGACUCCAGAUAUCAAAGCGCCAUCACUGCAGAAAAAGCUUCUACCCAACAAAUCCCACUUAGACAUAUAUUUUCAACAACCAAAUUCAUCAUCAAUACAAGUAGCAGACUUAAACCAAGAUGUGAUAAGGGACCUUGUUCAACUAAUCCACAACAUAAAAAGUAACCAAUUCAAGUCAUGCAUACUAUAUUUCAUAAAUUAGCAAGUAUAUACAAGUUAAUUAAGAUAUGCAUAUCAGUAGCUACAAAACUAGUUACACUGAGAUAUCAUUAGACUCUUUCAAGUGUCUGUUUCCUUAGAAAUUAUUCCUUUUCCUUAUAAUUCAUUAAUCAACCAACAAAUACACAUAUUUGGUACAUAUAUUUUAAGCAAACAUCAAUCACAUGAUCAAAGUCAAGAAAACAGAAACUUUUUAUCUUAUAUCAGCAAUUAUAUUUUUAAGUAAAAUCCAUCAUUUCUUAUUUAGACUCAUAUAAGGCAUGCGGUUCCUAACCAUUUCUUCCACUAAUCAAAUGCUGAAAUUUCAAACAUUAUAGGCCUAUAGUUCCUGAUCUCUUCAAACAUUAAAUUUAAUCAUACCGCCAACAUCAUCCUACAUGCAAGAUCAAAAAAAUCACUUAACACUUUAGAUAGAACCCACAUAAACACAAGAAGAUGAAUAGCCAUUCCUUAAUUAAAUUUCACUUAAAUUUAACUAUCAAUUGCUCAUAUGAUCAAGUAAUCAAUUGCUCAAAUGAUCAAGUACAAGGUGUACAUAGAUAAUUGCAAAAAGCUACAAUCAAAACAAAAUAAGAACCAAAGUCUGACUUGCUCUAAAUAUAAGUAAAACAACCCAAAAGCUAUUAUACUAGAAGAGCAAAAACAGAAUUGACACAUAGUGUUAUACCACAGGGCGAAAUAGCAACAGAAGCACUACACACCAUAUAAGUAGAAAUAGAAAAACUAGUAGAAAACAGUCCCUGCAUAAAAACCAAUGACACGUACGGCAGAAACAAAGACAUUGCGAAAAUAGAACCGUCACCUGAGGAGUGGAGUAUGAUAUAUGGUUGUUUGUUCUUGUCUUGUCUGGCUUCUAACAGAUACAAAGUUUGUUUACUGUGUUGAAUCAAUGUAGAUGUUGUCAUGAGGAAGAUAGAAUCCGGAGGAAAUUUCCCUAAAAAUAUAAGGGAAAGAACUUGCGUGAGGAAGAAAAAUAUUGCACAACAAAGUCUACCAAGAAAAAUAUUGCACAACAAAGUCUACCAUGAUAACAAAGUCUACUUACAGAGCAUCUAUUUGGAAUUAAUAACAACAUUAGGACCUAAAAGGGGCAUUUACUUGAAUCUGCAAGUACUUAACAUAGCCAUGUAAAUGUGACAACACCAGAAUUUUGGUGCAAUCCAAACUGAGUCAAGUUAAGUAAAUAGAAAUGUGAACUUCCAAAAGGGAACUCAACAAUAAUGUAGAGGAUGCUUCUAAACUUGAAACAAUAAACAACCAAAUACUCAGUGGUAAAACAUACAGGACACACUCUAACUCAAUCUACUCUAGCAACUUCUAACACCUUGUAAAACACACCUAGCAGUCAAUAAAGCAGAGUAGUAAAAAUACUCUCAUAAUAUAGUGCACAUGUAAAUUGACACCCACAAACAACUCUUAAUUGAUUUGGCAAUGUAAAUUGAACAUUGCACUGAAUUGAAAAUCAUAUAAUGUAACAGGGGAUGGUUAUAACUGAAUUAACCUUGUUCUUUUCAUUUGUGUAAAUAAUCAAAGAAAGAAAGAAAAGGACUUGAAGAAAUUUGGUUUCAAAUUUAGUUUUUUAAGUGUAUUAUUAUUAUUUUCUUUUUUAAGAAUCUUCUUUUCCCAACAAGUUAAAUUGCAGCACAGAAACGUCUCUGCUUAUUGAAACUAAACCUAAACUAGAUUAUAAAAUAGACGAGAAAACAAAUCGAAGCUUAGAAAACAAUAUCAACACAUAAAAUUGAAAUAAAAAACAGUUGGGAGCUACACACUGAGAAAAAGAUAGAUACCUAUAGGUUAAGAAGUGUCGAUAGAUGAAGAUGAUGAGAAAGCUACAACGACUGAAUGCGAAGAUGGCGGCAACGGCGAAGAGGACCCUUGAAAACUCUGAGCGCACAAUGAAGCGAAACAAAAGGGGAAAUUAGAAUGAGAAUCCAUUGAAUAAUGAAGAUAAACCAAAAUCGAAAUGGAAAGUGAC
rnacentral:lncRNA from 1 species